CGCUUGCAAAACCCGCAGGAUUUCCUGGAAAUUCCCGUUAUUGGAGAAACGAAACCAGGGCCCGAAGGUCCCUCCCAGCGCGCUCGGGUGGGCGCUGGCAGUGCAGGGCGGCGCGGGCAGGAUGGAGGGCUGCUGCCUGCGCUGCCGCCUCUGGCACAGGCAGUCCUGGAGGAUGUGCGUGGCCCUGGCCAUCGGGGUGGCCGUGGUGGUCCUGGUGACAGCCCUCCCCUCCUCGGAGGAGCCACCGAGGGGCUUGGAAGGGCUGGAGCAGCUGGGGACGGCGCAGCGGGAGCUGCAGGCGCAGGUGGCCGCGCUGGGGCAGGCGCUGGCCGUCACCAACCGGUCCCUCGCCGAGGCGCUGGCCGUCACCAACCGGUCCCUCGCCGAGGCGCUGGCCGUCACCAGCAGGUCCCUCACCGAGGUGCGGGGGCAGUGGGAGAGCUGCAGAAACGAGCUGGACGCGCUGAAGAGCACCGUCUCGGAGCUGACACAGCGUUUAGCCCAGCUGCAGCACCACAGGGACGAGCAGGAGGCCAACGUGGUGCAGCUGCAAGAGAACAACAGGGAGCUCCAGGAGAGGCUGGAACAGCAAGAGCAUCAGCUGAAGGAGGCUCAGAGGAGCAGGAGCAAUCUCCAGUCGCAGAUCUGGAACGCGUUGUCAGAGAUCCAGUCCAUACGGAGCUGGCGUUCGAGUGGGACCAGCGUGACGUUCCCUGGCGUGGCCGUGCCCCUCGUCCUCCUGGCUCUGCUCUUCGCAGGGACGCUGCUGCUUUGAGCACGGAGCUGGGAGAGCAUGGACCUGGCUUGUCGCCGUCCCCUUCCGCCCCCGCGGGGCAAGGAGGGACGGUUCCCAUCCUGCUGGGAUGGGGCUGGUGCUGGCAGCUCACGCAGUGCCUGGGUCGGGAGCUCCCACCAUGAGGACGUCGCGUGGGGACAUCCUGGGGGGACAUUCUGCAAAAUGCUGGCCCCUGAGCUAUGGCCAGGGCGAGACGGGGAUGGGGCAAAGGCAGGGGACAGAGACCUGGCACUGCCCCGGGGCUGCCUUUAAGCAAGGGGUUCGCAGCUACUGCGCAGUUGGGUGGGUUUGAGCCAUUUUCCAAUAAAACUGCAUGAAAACCCA
rnacentral:lncRNA from 1 species